rnacentral:rRNA from 1 species
UACAGAGGUGCCGAGCGUUAGGCGGAAUCACUGGGCUUAAAGCGUGUGUAGGCGGGCCCGUAAGUGUCUUGUGAAAUCCCACGGCUCAACCGUGGAACUGCUGGGCAUACUGCGGGUCUUGAGCGGCCUAGGGGCAGACGGAACAAGUGGUGGAGCGGUGAAAUGCGUAGAUAUCAGGAAGAACACCCGUGGCGAAAGCGGCUCUCUGGAACGGUACUGACGCUGAGACGCGAAAGCGUGGGGAGCGAACAGG